rnacentral:rRNA from 1 species
GAUGAACGCUGGCGGCGUGCCUAAUACAUGCAAGUCGAGCGAACGGACGAGAAGCUUGCUUUUCUGAUGUUAGCGGCGGACGGGUGAGUAACACGUGGAUAACCUACCUAUAAGACUGGGAUAACUUCGGGAAACCGGAGCUAAUACCGGAUAAUAUUUUGAACCGCAUGGUUCAAAAGUUAAAGACGGUCUUGCUGUCACUUAUAGAUGGAUCCGCGCUGCAUUAGCUAGUUGGUAAGGUAACGGCUUACCAAGGCAACGAUGCAUAGCCGACCUGAGAGGGUGAUCGGCCACACUGGAACUGAGACACGGUCCAGACUCCUACGGGAGGCAGCAGUAGGGAAUCUUCCGCAAUGGGCGAAAGCCUGACGGAGCAACGCCGCGUGAGUGAUGAAGGUCUUCGGAUCGUAAAACUCUGUUAUUAGGGAAGAACAUAUGAGUAAGUAACUGUGCACAUCUUGACAGUACCUAAUCAGAAAGCCACGGCUAACUACGUG